GAUGAACGCUGGCGGCGUGCCUAAUACAUGCAAGUCGAGCGAACAGACGAGGAGCUUGCUCCUUCGACGUUAGCGGCGGACGGGUGAGUAACACGUAGGUAACCUACCUAUAAGACUGGGAUAACUUCGGGAAACCGGAGCUAAUACCGGAUAAUAUUUUGAACCGCAUGGUUCGAUAGUGAAAGAUGGCUUUGCUAUCACUUAUAGAUGGAUCUGCGCCGUAUUAGCUAGUUGGUAAGGUAACGGCUUACCAAGGCAACGAUACGUAGCCGACCUGAGAGGGUGAUCGGCCACACUGGAACUGAGACACGGUCCAGACUCCUACGGGAGGCAGCAGUAGGGAAUCUUCCGCAAUGGGCGAAAGCCUGACGGAGCAACGCCGCGUGAGUGAUGAAGGUCUUCGGAUCGUAAAACUCUGUUAUUAGGGAAGAACAAACGUGUAAGUAACUGUGCACGUCUUGACGGUACCUAAUCAGAAAGCCACGGCUAACUACGUG
rnacentral:rRNA from 1 species